GGCCAUUGCUAAAACUGGUUCAGGAAAGACUCUAGGCUAUAUUAUUCCUGCAUUUAUUCAUCUCAGACGUUGUCGGAAUGAUCCUUCAGCUUGGUCCCACAGUGUUGGUCUUGUCCCCAACUCGAGAACUUGCUACCCAGAUUCAAGAAGAGGUAGUGAAAUUUGGUCGCUCUUCAAGGGUUUCGUGCACAUGUCUGUAUGGAGGUGCGCCAAAGGGUCCUCAGUUAAGA
rnacentral:misc_RNA from 1 species